UAGAGUUUGAUCAUGGCUCAGAGCGAACGCUGGCGGCAGGCUUAACACAUGCAAGUCGAGCGGAUGUAGCAAUACAUCAGCGGCAGACGGGUGAGUAACACGUGGGAACGUACCUUUUGGUUCGGAACAACACAGGGAAACUUGUGCUAAUACCGGAUGAGCCCUUACGGGGAAAGAUUUAUCGCCGAAAGAUCGGCCCGCGUCUGAUUAGCUAGUUGGUGAGGUAAUGGCUCACCAAGGCGACGAUCAGUAGCUGGUCUGAGAGGAUGAUCAGCCACAUUGGGACUGAGACACGGCCCAAACUCCUACGGGAGGCAGCAGUGGGGAAUAUUGGACAAUGGGCGCAAGCCUGAUCCAGCCAUGCCGCGUGAGUGAUGAAGGCCCUAGGGUUGUAAAGCUCUUUUGUGCGGGAAGAUAAUGACGGUACCGCAAGAAUAAGCCCCGGCUAACUUCGUGCCAGCAGCCGCGGUAAUG
rnacentral:rRNA from 1 species